rnacentral:lncRNA from 10 species
AACGAAUUGUCCCUCUGAUUGUCCUAGCGUUGGUGCAUGCAUGGAUCCAGGAAGAGCAGGUAUUUGGACCCAACGAGACAGCUGCCUUUGUGAUCCCGCGCCCCGGUCCUCGGCCUCUCACCUCCAGCGCCGGGGCGCCCCCUGCUGUCGGAAGCGGCUGUGACCGGGCAGAGGUGCUAUCUGGGACUCUGGGUUCUCAGCCCGGGGACAGCGAACCGAGGGGCAGAUGAUCCAUCAGAAAAGAGCCGGCACUGCCCAGCCCCGCGCCCCUGCCCCUGCCUUUUUCCGGGAGCGCGCCGCGCCGCACCCGCUACGGCCGCUUGACCCCAUCUUUGAGCCCGGCCCCAAGCUCUGGGACCGUCGUGCCCCUCAUCAAGGAAGAGCCAAGGACCCCAAGGAGAAGAGAAAGGAGUUCAUGAAGGCAGAAAUGCCUGGGGCCCACGAACAUCCCAGUGUGGCCCUGGACGGGACAUCAUGCUGGGCAACACAGCUAAAAUGCGGGUGAAGACCAGAUUUCUUGCACAUGGCGGUGACGGGAUGCUCCCUAGAGAGCUUCAAGUGGAUUCUUUGCUUUUUAUUUUCUCUCUUAAUAAAAAUGUAUGAUGUUUACAUUGUCAGAGAACAAAC